UCAAAACUUGCUGGUGAUGGCUGGGC
rnacentral:piRNA from 1 species